CGUGACAACCAUGGGACUAGCCAGGGUGGGUCGUGUCAAUCUCAUUACUGCAGAAAACAAUUUGCAGUUUCAUUAACUGAUCUUUUAAGGCUAGCAAAUGUUCACUCUUCGUCUUGACUUCCAUUUUUUUUGGAUAAAUCACGACAGAAACGUUAAACAACAAAUACACGCCAGGAUUAAAUUAUCUAAUAAUUAUGUGUAUAUCACUGUCAUCAUGUCAAGUCAACGUCACUUCAGAAACCUAACCUCGUUAUCUUGUAUCAGCUGUAUCAGAUG